AUGAGUUGCUUUAAGCUAACCAAGAAGGUAUGUAAGAGUCUUGUCUCUUACUCGGCUAAAUAUUGGUGGAGUAGUUCCCUUGAUCGCAGAUCAUUACACUGGAAAGCAUGGGACGCUUUAACCAAGCCAAAGGCGAAAGGAGGGAUGGGAUUCCGGGACCUCGAGCUGUUUAACACGGCUCUACUCGGGAAACACAGGUGGCGGCUGCUGGACGCCCCGGAUACUCUUUGUGCUCGAGUCCUCAAAGCUCGGUACUACCCAAACUGCUCAAUCCUGGAGGCAGAGGCGAAGGAUGGCAUUUCUUACACAUGCAGAAGUAUUCUCAAAGGCAUUGCACUCUUCAAGGAAGGAGUAAUUUGGCGAGUGGGUCCAGGGGAUAACAUUAAGGUGUGGGAGGACCCAUGGACACCACGGGGUGACACAGAAAACCAAGGUCUGUCCGAGGCAACGCUGUCAUUACUAAGGUAA
rnacentral:rRNA from 1 species